UACGUAGGGUGCAAGCGUUGUCCGGAAUUAUUGGGCGUAAAGAGCUCGUAGGCGGUCUGUCGCGUCUGCUGUGAAAAUCCAGGGCUCAACCCUGGACCUGCAGUGGGUACGGGCAGACUAGAGUGCGGUAGGGGAGAUCGGAAUUCCUGGUGUAGCGGUGAAAUGCGUAGAGAUGUGGAGGAACACCGAUGGCGAAGGCAGCCCCCUGGGUCAACACUGACGCUCAUGCACGAAAGCGUGGGGAGCAAACAGG
rnacentral:rRNA from 1 species